UGGGUGACCGGCCCUCAGCUCUGGGAUAAGCCUGGGAAACUGGGUCUAAUACCGGAUAUGACUCCUCAUCGCAUGGGUGGGGGGUGGAAAGCUUUAUUGCGGUUUUGGAUGGACUCGCGGCCUAUCAGCUUGUUGGUGAGGUAAUGGCUCACCAAGGCGACGACGGGUAGCCGGCCUGAGAGGGUGUCCGGCCACACUGGGACUGAGAUACGGCCCAGACUCCGUACGGGAGCAG
rnacentral:rRNA from 1 species